UAACGGCCAUGGAUACUACUAAUCUACGUUAUACAAGUGUCUCAGAACAUAUUACCAUGAAAAUUUCAGGAAUUUCAACAUUAAUAGGUUUUCUGACUUUUCCUGGUACACCAAUAUCACUUAGAAUCUGGAUAAGGAUGGAAGGAUUAACAUUAUAUAUAUAGCACAUGCAGUAUAAGAGUGGCUAUGAAAAGAUAUUUUUAUGUCUGCUAAAAGAGAAGUGAAGCUUUCAACUGCACUUUUACCUCUACGGAAACCAAAUUGUUGCCCAGGUGGAGAUGUAGGAGCAUAUUUGUCCAAAAAAGAGGGGAUCCAUUCAUCAUUUUUAGGCAGCAUUUGAUACGUUACGCCUAAAUCUAAGAAUGUAGUUGCAAAUAACAGGAUUUCAGAUAAAUAUUUUGACCAGUCUGCCUUGCUCAGUCAGUCUUGCUUGCUUGAUGAAGCGUUCGGAUGGAAAACCAAUUUCAUAUUUUUCAAUGGCUCUUUGAAUAUUUACAAUUGUGGGAAAAUCAUAACUACCCAUAGGAUUGUUGUACACUUUCCAAUCACACAAAGGUGUUACAGUGGAACUAACACAUGAAAUAUCUAUAGCAGAAGGAUUGUGAUGAAUACUACCUACAGUAGUUGAUGCUUCUGUAUUUAAAAUGCAAAGAUCACAUUGGUCUAGCAAAUUAUACAUGUCAUUGCAACAUGAUGUGAAUUUAAGUCACCACAUAACAUAAAAGGUGAAUUAUCAAUAAUUUGUUUCAACUUCCUGCAUC